AAGGAAUCUCAAAAUGUGCUCACUAGCUAUGACUCGUGUAGGACAAACAUUCACAAACUGACCUUGUUGAUUGAUUGCUUUUGCUUGGCAAAUCAUAGAGUUGAUGCAACACAUCAGGUGGGAUGCACGUUCCUUCGUGGGCAUAUUAUCCAACACGUCCUAGGCAUGAGAAUAAUACCAUAAUUCCUCAACAACUCCCCUCUUCAUCUGAUCAUAUUCAUAUAGAUAUUUGUCUUUCUUCCUAAAAUCCUCAAUCCAAGCUUGCCAAUUCAUUUAAUAAUAUAUUUAUAUUGAUUUUUAAAAUAUAAUACCAAAUUUGGGGUUACUAUGGUCAAGAAUAUAAUUUGGAGGGGGGGGGUGGGGAGCGCAAAAUGAAACACUUAAAGUCAAUUAUUAUGUGAUCACUUACAGUUGAUUAUUGAGGGAUUACAAACACUUAAUCCAUCCCAUCAACAACCAAAAAAAAAAAAAAAAAGAAAGAAAGAAAGAAAAGACUCAAGAGUAUUUGCAAAAGAUAAUUAUAAAGAGUGACUAUGGUCAACGGUGGAGAAUGGAAUCAAAGACAUUAUCAAAGGUAACAAAAGCUUCGAUCAUCUAAACACAGAGACUUUUCUUCAAGUAUAGUUAAAUAAUAAUUUAUAUUACUUAAUGAAACAAUAAGUAUUUAUGACAAAUAAGAUACAUGGAAUAAACCAACCUCUCCGCUUAUCAUUUUCUCUAUUGUGUUUUUUUUUUCCUCUGUCUCUCCUUCUUGUUGUUUAGUAGAUGACACAACAUUUCAUUUUGUUUAUUCAAUUUGCUGUUGGAGCAUCUUCCAGGAAAGUACAGAAAUGUAAAUAUACAGGUAAUAUUAUAUUUAUGAAUUAUUUAUAUGUACAGUACAUACUAAGUAACUAAAAUAAGACAAAUGAAAUAAUAAAAAUAUAAAUAUAAAUGAGAUAAGAUCAAAUAUAUGAUAUGAUGAUACUAAGUAAACAAUAUUGUUUAUGGUAGGCUAGUCAUUUGACCAGAUGAGAAAACCAUCUAAAACAUUAUUGCUGUAAUGUUAUACAUUAUGUACGAAACAGGAAUGUAAGCACAGUAGUAAUAUAAUGUUAUACAUAUCAAAAUUAUGUCUACAAAUAAAAAAUAAAUCGCUAGUCGGCGUCUCUGGUUCUGACGCAAUCAAUUUCAAUUUAAGCAUACCUCUGUUGACAACCUGAGUAUGCUUCAUGACAUUCGAACCAGAGCAGAGAAAAUCAACUGCAUAAAUAAUACAGGCCUAGUCACGACAUCGGGAGAGUAAACAAAUGGACUGCAUGGAGAUGCCCCAACUUGGCCAUGAUGCAAGUUGAACACUGACGGAGCUUGUAAGCGAACAGGAGCACCAAGUGCUGGAGUAAUUCGUGAUCACAAAGGGGCUUGGAUCUUUGGCUUCGGAAUGAAUACAGGGCAUUGCUCUGUUACGGUGGCUGAGUUAUGGGGUUUAUAUCAUGGUCUAAAACUGGCAUGGGAGCAUGGGAUAAAGUGGCUGGUGGUGGAAAUUGAUAGCCUAUGUGUCACUGAACUGGUUAGGAAGCCUGUGGAUACUGACAAUGAGUACACUUCCCUUCUUCAGCCUAUCGAGGAGGUUAUGCAGCGUAAUUGGAACAACAUUAUCAUUAACGAUGUCUACCGUGAGGCAGAUUUCACAGCAGACUAUCUCGCUAAUUAUGCUCUAUCUCUUCCUCUAGGUGUUCAUCAUCCUGCUAAUCCCCCACCUGGUGUGACUCCUCUUUUGUACCAUGACUUGUAUGGGGUGGCUUACCCGCGUUCUGUUUUAUUCUAGCUCUUUUUAGAGCCUCAUCAUAUCAAAAAAAUAAAUAAGUAAAAUUAUGAUAAAGAUAUGCGCGUAUGAGAUUAUUUUAGAGACUUUCGGGGUGUCAAAAACUUGACUCUUCUUGAUUAUGGAUUACAAGCUGUUCCGAACUUAGAAUCAAUAAAUUGAAUAGCUGUCGAGCACACUUGUAGAAAGAGUGACCCUAUGAGCACCCCUUUGUCAUUCUUAAAAAAACCCAACUUCAAAUACAACUAUAUAUAAGGAUAAAUAACAAUUAGUCAACCAAUUAGAUCUUUUUUCCUGCAAAUUAACUGUAUUCAUUAACGUCCCUUUUUUUUUUUUUUUAAUUUGUCAUGACUUCCUGCGUAUUGAAAUUAAAUUUUCUUAAAUUUAAAAUAUUCUAUUAUUCUUUUUGUAGUUCUUAUUGAUUGAAUAAUUUUUUUUAAUUACAGAUUACGUACAAUUAUAUUAUAAUUUAAAAUAUGUGUAAUUUAAUUCAAUAAAUUAUAAUUUAAAGUAUUUUAAAUUUAAGUCAAUGAUUAACAUUAAAAAAUUCAUCACCGAUAAAAUUUUUUAAUUCGUAUGUAGGAUUGAUUUGAAAUUAACAACACUGCUAAAAAAAGAAAGAAAGAAAGAAAUUAGAAGAGUGUAUAAAAAAAGGACAUUUUUUAAAUUAAAAGUAAGAAUAACCUUUUUUUUUUAAAAAAAAAAAGAGGUCUUACAAGGAUAUAAGAGGGGUGUCAAUAAUGCGACUCCGUGAAAAGAAUUAACAAGAAAAUAAUAAAAAAUAUUUUUACAAUUAACUCACACAUCUAUUGAAACAAGAACCUAAAACUUAAAGUCUUAGAAAAGCUUCGCGGUGAAGCUAGACCUCAACUUUGAUAAGAAAAUAAUAUUAAAAAUUAGAUGAGUGAUUAAAAAAGGGAUAUUUUGGGAGUUACCAAUAAGAAUAACUAGAAAAAAAAAGUAAUAAAAAAAGGUUUUAUGAAAAGAUCGGGGGGUCAAUAAUCCAGCGUAAAAAGAACAAAAGUAAAAAAAACUCAAAUUAAAUAAGCACAGCUAAAUUCAACGAACUCAUGAAGGCCCAAAAAAGUUCCAACAUCAAAAUAAAAGGGAUAAGAAUCACAAAUGUUCACAAUGAAGACAACCAUGAAUAUAUUUUUUUUUGGGUCAAAAAUCUUUUUGGUCAAAUAUGUGAUAUGAUCCUUGUACAGAAAAAUAUGUGAUAUGAUCUUCAUACAUAAAUGAUAAUUUUACUUCAUCAAAGUUCAUUUGUCAUUCAAUUUCAUUUUUCUCUAUAAAUUGUUAUAAUUUGUACAGUUUCUUUAAUUCGCAGCUUUUUGUGAGACUUAAAAUUGCUUUAAUUUGAAAUGUCAAAUCAGAAGGUGCUAGUGUUAUUCUAGGGUAAAAUCUAUGCAAAUUCAAUAAGAAUCUCAACAAGCGAAAAUCCAUAUCAGCUUCAUGUGCUGUAUAAUUUAGAAUAAGCUUAGUUGGCCUACUCAAAUAGAAAGAACAGUAGAAGCUGUACGCCAAAAGAGUGAAAAUAAUAAUAAUAAUAAUAAAAGAAUAUAUUUAACCAGAUUGCAAUGAGAUACUUAUUUUAUUGUUCACUCAUAGCAAUUUGUAUGCAAUUCAUCAAUUAUGACCCCAGUCCUCAGCCCUUUCAAGUGUACCCAAAAACUCGGACGUUUAAUAAUGGAUACAAAAUGACAGAAUGCUGCAAUGAAACGGAGAAACAAGUAAGAAUGCAAGACAGAGGACUAACUUUCCUUCUUUUUUUAAUUUUCAACUCGUGAGAAAUCCCAAAAUACAAAGCUUCAAUUUGGUCGAGCAACACAUUCUGAUUCUGACCAACUUCUGAAUCCAAGUAGAGCAUUUCUAGUAAUUUAACGUGAAAAUAAAUUGCAAGAUUAGAAUAAAUAAAAACUAAAUGAAAUACCAUGUGCAAAUUUAAAGAGCAUAAAUUGAAAUUGGGAUGUGUACUUACACUGUUACACUAGGCUUUGCCCUUCAUUUGAAUUGUCUAAAUCUUUUAGGUGGUGGUUCCUCAUCUUCAUCGCAGCAGCCACUGCCACUGGCUUCAGCUGUCCCAGCACUUUCUGCAAGGCCUCGCUUUGAUGUUGUGGCUACUUCCAUAUUAGAUCCAACAAAAUCGUGAGGGGAUUCAUACAGAUUAUAAGAAGUAAAAUGAGUCCACUGCUUUGUUGCUUGGUCCAACUCCUCAACUUCGUGCAUAUAAACUGGAUGGAAGCCACACCUCUUCACGUUCAAAUCAGUACCUCGCCGAUAUAGACCUUCUUCAAUAAAUGACAACUUAAAAUGAUUAGAUUCAAAAUUCCACUUAUCAUUGUAGCAUUCUUGUCGAGACAAAUAGAAUAGCCAAAGAUGGUCUGACCCAGCAUGACCGAAGUUCCCUCUAGAACGAAUAAAAUGACUGACAUUAGAACCAUCCAUGGAGCAGUGUAACUCAACUUGGGAAUACGAACGCCAUAAAUAGGUACCAGUUGAAUGCUUAGGGACAUGAAAAACACAGCAAAUAGCAUAUCCCACAACCUUAUUCAUAUUAUACAAAUAUGAAGGCCUUGUGACUGUUAUUGAAGAACCCUCAUUCUGAUACAUGAACCACUCUGGAAUUUCACUUCCUGGAACAACAAUGCUAAAUUUAUGGCUUGGAUCUGACACUGCCUGCAACAGAAAAACAAAAAAUGAACAGGUCCAUACCAUUGCUUAAUUGUCAGGCAUAAUCUUGGCAUAGCUGGAAGAAACGGAGUGAGAGACUGACCUCAAGGUACUCUCGUAGCAUCGAAAUUGCAAAACUGUUGUUCCCUGGCAAUUUCAAGCUAUCUAUACAAUUAAUCAUUGUGUGGUCGGACUUACCUAGUUUUAAAGCACCAGAUAAUGUCACCAAUGAAGAACAACCAUUCACUGUAACUACGUUUAUGCUAGAUGGAAGUUGUGGCAGAGAUUGAAGCCUUUUACAAUCUUCCAACUCUAGGUUUUUAAGAUUUAAAAGACCGUUAAUACUUGCUGGCAGCGUAACAAAUUUGUUUUUACUCAGAUACAACUCGUUUAAUGAGUGUAAGUUGCCAAUAUCACUCGGGAUUGCUCCUUCCCCUAGGCCACAGUCACUGAGAUCUAAUUUUGUUAAAGAGCACAAACCUGACAGAGAAGGCAACAUUAAAUCCACAGGACAUGAACUCUUUCCCAUCAAAUUGAAGGGAAGGAACAAAUGCCAUGAUGCAGCUGAUGGUGGCCCAUUGCACCCUAAAAAAGAGAGUGUUCUAAGAUUGUCCAUAAGAAAAAUGGAGGAUGGAGGUCGUCUUAUAGCUGUUCCGCUUAUAUCAAGUUCUUCCAAACUUUCUACUUGCCCAAGCGUCUCUGGCACAUUUUCAAGUUUGGAGCAGCCAGAGAGAUUCAAAGUUUUUAGUGAUUUCAAACCGUUUAUAUUGCUGGGAAGUCUCACGAGACUUUUGCAGUCAUUCAAAGUCAACUGAACAAGUCCAGAUAGAAGUUCAAUUGAUAGUGGCAGUUCUUUGAUAUCAGUUCCAUCCAAAAGAAGCUCCCGCAGACACUCCAUACUUCCCGCAACGUGUGGAAAUUUCCUCAAUUUCAAGCAACCAGAAAGAACAAGUGUUUUAAGCGAUUUCAUAAAAAUCUUUCCCGGAAGAGUUGUAAGACUUGUACAACCUUUCAAGUUCAACAAAAUCAGCUUAUUGUGAAGCAGUAAAGAUGGGUGAAUCUCACGUAACCUUGUACAUCCUUCAACAUCCAACUCCUCCAAAUUUGGGACCUCUGUGAAGUCUGGAGUCUUAAUCAGAUUCUCUGAAUGGCUGAGUUCCAUGACUUUCAACAUGUUUAAAGGCUGUUGAAAACAAAAAGGAGCUGAAAUGAUAUUUCUUAAUUUAUAUACAGCUAUAAUAAUAAAAUUGUCAUCAACAAUUAUUCACUAAAAAAAUAAAUUAGUGACAAAACAUUGAUCUUACUUUGAUUCCUUUCCAUAAUUCUUCAAUGCAGCUGUAACACAUUUUAAACUCCACAGUUUUAUCCAAUUGCAAAUUUGAUGGCAAAGAUUUCCAAGGAUAUCCAUGCCAAUCAAGUAACCGCAACUUGUUAGAGAGGUGUUCAAGGCCUUGAGGAAGUUGCAGACCACAGAUUUUGAGCAAUCGUAGGUUGGUCAUCUUUGAAAAUGCUUUCGGACUAGCACUUAAAUAAACCUUAUCUUGGAGAAAGUAAUAAUCAUCAAGUAUUAUUCCUUCAACUACUUCAGUUCCCUAAAUAUUAUCAACAAAAUAGUUCAUUAGAGAUUUUACUGGGUAAAAGAAAAAAAAUUUUCCGAUCCCCUUUAUUAGUCACUUACUGUGUUUUGUGACAAUACAUGGCAUAGGUCUGCUUCCUCCCACAAUCUGCUGCGUUUUCCAGGCUCCCGUGGGGACUGCCUCCUAACAAUUUGUCGACCCAUUUCUAGUAACAAAUCAUGCAUCCAUAGUCUGUCGCUCUCACAUAUUGUUAAUAGAGAUUUUUCAAUAAGAACACCAAUGCCAAUUACCGGUUCAAAACCACAGCUAUCGAGAAUUUUUGACACGUAAUCUCUCUUCUCCCCUUUAAAGAAACACGCAACAUCGAGAAAUAUUUCCUUCUCUGCUUCCUUCAAGCCAUCAAAACUUAUCUGGAGUAUAUCUAGAAUCUCAUUUUCAGGUUCUCUUUUUAGUCUUUCCAAGGUACUUGUCCACUCGUCCACAGGUCUACCAAACAAAAAAGAACCCAAAACCUUGAGAGCUAAUGGAAGACCACCAGCAUAAUUUACAACAAGUUGAGAUAGAUGAACAUAUUCUUCCCUGGGCUUCUGUGUUUCAAAGGCUUUCAAACAAAAGAGUUGGAGUGCCUCAUCAUAAGUUAGUGCCUCAAGCUUAAAAACUUCCUCGACUCGAUGCAACUUCAACAAAUGUUCAUCCCUCGUUGUUAUUAUGAUUCUGCUGCCCGGGCCAAACCAAUCGCGCUUUCCAGCUAAUCUUCGUAGUUGCUCAACAUGAGCGACAUCAUCGAUCACGAGAAGGACCUUUUUUUGUCGCAACCUACGUCCUAUCAUGUUAAUACCGUCAUAGACAUUUCGUAUGUUAUUAUCCGCAAGCUUCAGUAAAUCAGAAAUGAGCUGCUUUUGCAAAGAGAUUACACUGCCUUCUUUAUCAUAUUUUUCUUUAACAUCAGCAAGAAAACUACUACCAUCAAACUCGUGGGAGAUCAAGUCAUAAACAACUCUUGCAAGAGUUGUCUUUCCUAGACCUCCCAUACCCCAUAUCCCUAUCAUACGAACAUCAUUGCACCCUGCACCCAUAAGAAACUUCAGUUUCUCCAAGCGUGAUUCUAUUCCUACUAGCUCCUUAAGAAUCUCUGACUCUGUACGAAUUUUACUUGAUAUCACAUUGACAAUUUCCUCAAUAAAUUCUGACUCAUUGCUGCAAAUUGAAAACAACAAGAGAAGAUUACUGUUGUUAAAUUAAAGUUUGGGUAAACAUAGUAACAAAUCAAUUCCAUAUUAUGUAUACAAUCCAAACUAUAUAAUAUUCACUUCAUCAAAUUGAAGUCGUAUAAGCAAGUAACAUAUAUUAUCGCGUGGGUCAGAAACAACAAGAAUGAGAAAAUUCAAUUUCUUUUGCUGUUUUCUUCUCAUGUACAUAUUAUUUCUUUCUGUAGGAGGAUAAAUUAGAUUAAAAGAGAAUUUAUAUCAAUUUUUUAUAAGAACAAUUAUUGCUCACAUGAAAUCAAUUAGAUGAUGAUGAUAAAUGUCCCAAAUGAUGUGUCAUUUAAUAAGUGGUUGAUAAUUCUUUAGAAGAUUCGAGUGAGUUAAUUAUAUUAUUUCAAGAACUAAUUGAUGGACGUCACAUCAUUUUGGGAUGGUUUUUUGAAAUAAAAAAUUUGAGAUGUGUAGCACUACAAUUAGCUAAAUAUGUAAUGAUAUUGAUGGUAGCAUUGGGCUUGCGAUUAUUGUCAUUGUUAUUAUUAACAGUUACUAAAGAGUCAAUCUAAGAGUAAUGUUUUAUUUUUAUUUUUUAGAUGUGAUUAAUAGAGCACAAAGCAACACAAGAUACAUAUGUAUAGUCUUCAAUAGUUCAGAACACAAUAAUUUAUAGUAUCAACAUCCAUAUCUAUUCAUUUGCAAAUAUUAAUUCAUUUAUAGCACUACUACUUUAAUAACGACACAUCAUAUGAUAUAUAUACAUAUUAAACAGAAGCUGUUAAAUUGAAAACAAUGUUGAAUCAUGAAUACUAAUCAUGCAGAACAAAAUAAUAAUAAUAAUAAUAAUAAUAUUUGAGAAUAAGAAUGAUUACCUGUCCUUCAAUUCCCAACCUGAUAUAUUGGCCACCACUUUUAAAGCGUGUCUCCACUUUUGUACUUUUUCUAUAUUAUCCCUGAAAAAUUCUUCGUGUUUGGUAAAAGCUUCUCCAAAACUUGUUGUCUGUUUCCUUACAACAGUUGGUUCCACAUCAUAGAAAAUUGGAAAAAUCUGAUCCUCUCUAUUUUUGUAUUCAACAAUCUUGACAAGUUCAUCCAAGCACCAAGUGGAAGAAGCAUAGUUUCUUGAGAGAACAAUAAUUGAAAUUCUUGAUUCUUCAAUUGCUUUAAGGAGAUUUGGUGCAAUGGAUCCUCCUUUCUCAAGUUGUUUGUCAUCCCUGAAUACAUAAAUUCCUUUAUCGUUCAAAGCAGUAUAGAGAUGACUUAUGAACGUUUGACGGGUGUCUUCUCCUCUAAAGCUUAAGAAGGCAUCGUAUUUCCUAUGAGAGACAUCUUGGCAGCUCGUGGAAGCCAUUAUAUUAAUUUGUUCCUGAAAAUUUAGAAUAAAUCAAGUGAAAUCCAGUGAACGCACAAUACCAUGCAAACAAUAAGAUUCAUUCAAAAUUAUGGGCAUCACAAAAAUGAAAAUUUUAUAAAUUAUAUAUAAAUUCUACUUUUUUUGACAACCUACACAGUAACUCGUAUGAAUAGUGACUCUAAAUAGUAUUGCAUGAACAAUAUUGUAUAAACAGUAAUCCGUGAACAGUAAUUUCAGGAUUAAUUAAUUAGAAAAAUUAAUAUAUCUACCGUUUUAAUUUGUUUAUGCUGAUUAAAAUAGAUCUAAAUUCUUUACACAUGAUAAACCCCAAAAUGUAAUAUAAAUUUUUUCUAGAUGCUAAUCGGGGAGUGUGCACACCAAUCUCUGCUUAAGCAAAUCUUGAUUAUAGCCUCUAAAAGAAAGCAGAGUGUUUGUACGAAAUUAACAUUCAAAGAUUUCUUUCAAUUUUUACAUUUUUUUCUUUUACAUCAAGAUGUGCAAAAUUAAUUCUGAAAAUAAAAGAGAGAGAUUUAUGAGAUAGAACUUACAGCUUUUGAGUGUAUUGCAGGAAGCCCUUAAAUGAAUUCCAAUGCAGUAUUAUUAUUAUUAUUACCACAACUCCGAUGCAGUGUUUGAUUCAAAGAAUUUAUUCAUGUAAAUAUCCUUUGGGAAAAAAUAAAUUAAGCAAUAGGAGUUGUGUUGUUGUCAAAAAGUGGCCUCUUUAAUAAUCAAUAAAUGUUGUCACUGCUUACUCAGACGAUGAACUUAGCAUCGAACUUCCUGGAAGCUUCAAGGAAUCUAAACGAAAAUUAUCAGGCUUUUCAAUUGUAUACGCAUCUUUGCCAUUCUGCCCAUUAGCCGUGUUGAAACCAUUGGAUUCCAUAUUUCCAUUAAAAUGGAGUGGAAUCCAACGGUUGAUAUUAAUAACUAAUUAAAAAUAUUAAAAUUAUCAGCAAUCUAUAGGAAUUAAUGGUAAACAUAAUGAUCUUUAUUACUGAAACUUUAAUGGAGUCCAGCCAGGUGGGAAUCAAUAUGCUUUUUACUGUUUGAAUUUGAUUUUAAGUAGCAAAUAGCUUCUUUUUUUUCAACUUUUAUGUUUGAACUUGUUUCAUUUUUAGUUUUAAUCAAUUCGAUUGACCCAGCACAAUGAUUUAAGGAUAAGAUUGGGUUGGGUUGAACAUAUUUAUUUGAUUGGUUGGUUUGAUUUUUUUUAAACUAAUCAAUAGUGGGUGGGUUGGAUGACCACCCUUACAGAAAGAAAAAUUAAAGUUCUUUAUCAUAGAAAUAUGCAAAAUCCAUACACUUAAAAAAAAUUAUGCUAAACUGUAAUUACUGUUUAAAAGCUUCCAGUGAAAAUUGAUUUAACUUAUAAAAUCUGCGUUGUGUAUAACACAGCCUGAUCAACAAAUAUUGUCAAAUGUUAUUUAUCGAGAUCCAAAGAAAAAAUUUACAAACCUGAAGAUUCAUCGAGACUUACGAAAUUCAAGGAGAUAAAAAUUAUUAAUUAUUAGUGUUAAAAAAGAGAAAAUAGAGAGAAAGAGAAAAAUAAUGUAACAUAAUUACUUUAAUAAUUUCUUUUAACAUAAAAUUAUUGAACAACAAAUUAAUGAUCUUCUUCUUAACUAAACAAACUAAUUGACAGCCUCUCAUUUACUUCCAAAAUACAAUAAAAAAGUUUUUCAGAUGAUGAUUGGAGAGCGUGUUUGCCGACUUUUACUUAAGCAAAUCUUAAUUAGAGCCUCAAAAUGAAGCAAAUCAAGGAGUUGAUACAUAACAAAUUAAAUUACCAUUCAAAGCUUUCUUCCAAUUUUAUUUAUUUCCUUUUUUAAACAUCCAGGAUGUGCAAAUUAAUUCUGAGGAUAAAAGAGAAAUGUAUAAAAUAAAACUUACAGCUUUGAGUGUGUUGAACGAAGCCACCUAAUUGAUCUGAUCAACUCCAAUGAAGUGUCUUGAUUCAAAGGAAAGAAGUUAAUCUCAGGCAAAUAUGUUUCUUUUGGAAACAAAAAUGCAACUUCCAGCUGCCCCAGAUUAAUUUAUAUGUAUUCCAAAAGCAAGUCUUGGUCAUCUCAGAAAGUGGGGGUGAAAAAAGCAAAAAAGCGAAAGGAAUCUAAAUUCUAAAGGUUAUACUUUUUAACUACUUCAUUACCUCAUAGGGGCGAAAAAAAGAAAAAAAUUAGAGAGGUGUGAUUAGAUUUAAACGGGGUGUAUUUUGCAUGCCGCGCUAAAAGCUUAUAGUUGAGAGAAUAAAACUCUUUUUAUGUUUUUUUAAAGUUAUUUAUAAGAUAAGGUAAUUUUGCAUCCUUCUAAACUUAUUCGGCAAUAACCCCAAAUGAUCUUUAAGUAUAAGAAGUAAAGUUUAAAACUAGAUAAAGUAUGUAUAAAACUGAAAAUUAAUUCUAAUUUUAUUCAUAUACCAUAUAUGUCUAGUAAUAUAAAAAUAACUUUUAUUUUAUUUUGGCUUGAUCUACAUUUUUAAAAAAAAUUAAUUUUUCUGUGUAGUAAACAAAUAUUAUGAUAGAAAAUGAAAAAAAUUAUAAAUUUCCAAGGAUAAAUAUAGAAUUCAUGUUUAAAUCAAUUCAAUAAAAUUUAUUCUGAUUAUUUAAAUACAGUUUUUUUUCAGUUAAUGAGUGAUUUUUUUGGCUUGAUUAGUGAUUUUUUUUGCAUAAUUAAUAAAUAAAUCAACUAUUUUCUAGUCUAGUUAACGUUUAAUGUUGUUUUAUAAGUUUUAUAUUAUUUUUACAAGUAUUUUUAAUUUUUAAUUUUAAAACAUCAAUUUACCACUUUUAUAUUGAUUUAUUUAUUUUACUUUUUAUUUACUAGCCAUAUGUAUAAAUUAUAAAAAUUGCUGACUCUAAUUUGUAUGCUUAUUGCUAGUAAUCCACCUCUGCUGUUGGCGGUAACUAGUUAGGAAUUCCAUGAACAAAUUUCACAAAAGGUUUGAACAAAUUUCACAAAUUUUCCAAAAAUGUAGAAGUCCCUCUAGUUCAUUUCCAUUCCCUCUUUUCUAUUUUAAGAAGUAUACACUACGGAUCAUUCUAAUUGCGAAUUUCGAUUCUUAAGUCCCAUGAGUAAAAGCACCAUUAAUGUAGGUCACGAGAGUAACCAGAGUGGUAAAAGGCCGGUAAAGACAACUGUUAGGAAAAGAAUUACAGCAAAUUGGCCGAAACUUAUUACUGACAACUAAUUGUAUUUGUAUACGAAACAAAGUGUUCCAUGCAAGUACGGGGUUGGAUUAGACUUACCCAAGAGUUUAAAAAAUAAUUAAUUAAGUGUUCUCACAGUAUGUAAUACUUUUCUAAAAUAGAUUUGGGUUAAAACACUGUCUUUGGUCUUAAUUUCAAUGCGGAAAAAAAUUUCACACUUUCAAAAGAAAAAAAGAAAUAAUUUGAAAGACAGUGAAGCAAUUAGCUAGUUACAAAUAUCAUAAACAUGUAAGUUGAGCAAUUAGUUUGGAUUCGCAACAAGCACUCGUCGCCUUUCUCAUGCCAAGAAUCUAUUUUGUCAGUCCCAAGUACUUCAUUGCAAACGACUUGCUAAGCUCCCUCAUCAGAUUGCCAAUCUUACUAGCAUCCUGGCCAACAAUUAACAUGUCAUCCACGUAAAGCAAAAGGAUAAUAAAACCAUUAUCACUAAACCUCUUCACAAAAACACAAUGAUCGCACGUAGUCUUGUUGAAAUCACGAUUCUCCAUGAAAGAAUCCAACUUCUUAUACAACUGUCUUGGUGCUUGUUUCAGUCAAUACAAACUUUUCUUCAACUUGCACACAAGUUCUUCUUUACCUUUGACACUGAAUCCUUCAGGUUGCUCUAUGUAUAUUUCCUCCUCCAAGUCACCGUGUAAGAAAGUUAUCUUUACAUCGAGCUGUUAAAUUUCGAAGUUCAAGCUAAUUGCUAGUCCCAGAACAACUCCGAUAGAAGACAUCUUUACCAUAGGAGAAAGUAUUUCUUCAAAAUCAAUACCUACCUUUCUUCUGACCAAAACCCUUCACAACCAAUUUAGCCUUAUAUCGCUGCUGUGAGUUGUUUUCAGUCUUCAACCUAUAAACCCACUUGUUCUUCAGUGCUCUCUUUCCCUUAGGAAGCUUCACUAAGUCAUAAGUGUGGUUCUCAUUUAAGGAUUUCAUCUCUUCUUGUAUGGUUUUAACCCACUCACUAUUAUGCUGGUGAGACAUGGCUUUUUCAAAACAUUUUGGCUCCCUUACAUCUGUAAGCAUCACAUACUUAUGUGGAGGAUAUCUAGUAGAAGGUCACCGUUCUCUAAUAGAUUUUCUCAAUUAUGGCUCAACUGGUGGUGUUGGUGGUUCUAGAGGUGCCUGGUCAACUGUUUUUGCUGGCAAACCAAGCAAAUUUAUUUGGACUUUGGGCUUUGGGGCCCCCAAAUGAGAUGAACCUAACAAGUGGAAUCCGUGCUAGCAGCUUGAGCUUCUGAUUUUCCUGCCAAAACCAAAACUCCGGACUUUAUGAAUUUGAAUCAUUCUUCGUCAAUUAAGGCUUGUAAGUUUUGCUUGAAUUUGAAGUAGUCAUGCAAAACGGAGAAACUUUGCGAAAGUGAAUGUGCAUGGAAAUGGAUCUGCGCCAAAAGUAAAGCCAAGCAUUCAAGCAUGAUAAAAUUAAGAUCAUGUUAUUAGAGAACCUACUAUCAAAACUGAACCUGUGAUCGAGCCAAAAGAAGUGGCCACAUAAGAUUUGAAUUUGCUAUUAUUUGAUUUAACUUUUUCAGUUGUUAAUUGUAGGACUGGUAAGAAUCUGAGCCUAAGUUUCCUCGACCAGUUAUGCUUUUCAUUACUUGCUAACCUUAUCAACAUUCUUGUUCCAUGAGUCUAAUAACAUUAUGUUGAACAACACCGAAAGCAAUUCACAUAGAAGUAAUUGUUGAAAAACUGAGGAUGAUUAAAUUGUUCAAAACUAAAAUUAUGUGGGCAACAGAAGAAUUUUACUAAAAUGAAGGACUUCAUUGAUAUUAUUUACCCUACCACAAUUUGAAAAUGAGGAAUGGAAGACUCAUUCUAAGGAGGAGGUAGUAGUGAGUCUCUUAUUUGCUGGAUUGAUCAUUUUACCCCUCUCCAAAAAUCAAAAUGUUCAUUUUAUCCUCAUUUAUGAUUAAUUAAUAUAUUAUUAUAAUUAAUUAUUAACAAUAAUUAUUAAUAGUACUUAUAUUUAAUUAAUAAUAAUUAUAAAAUAUUACUAUAAUUGAAGAAUUAAUAUAGUUAUUAUUAUUAAUUAAUAUAUUAAUUAUUAUUAACAAUAAUUGUUAAUAGUUAUAAUUUUUAAUAAAUAAUCACAAUAAUUAAUAUUUAUUAUUAAUUAAUAUAUUUUAUAAUUAGUAUAUAAAUAUAAUUAAAUUAUGUAUUAUUAACAAUAAUUAAUAAUAAUAAUAAUCAUCAUCAUCAUUUUUAAUAAAUAAUCGCUAUAAUUAAAAUAUAAAAUAAUAAUGAUGAGAAUAGUUCAUUAUGUACUUUAUAGUAAUAUGUUACAAUGUAACUCAUUCUAAUUCUAAUUCAAAGACAAAGUAAAUACAUUAAUGGCAAUUCAGCUCAUUCCGAUUCUAAUUCCUGCAGUUCAAGUAAAAAACGUAUUUUAAUUCCCAUUAUCCAUACUCAUUUCAGCUCAUCCCAUUCUUACUCAUUCUAAUUUCAGCCCAUUCCGAUUCCAAUUUAGUAAACGCAAUAUAAAAUGGAUUGGAAUCCAAUGGUUGAUAUUAAUAAUUAAUUAAAAGUAGUUAAAACUAUUGACAAUCUACAGGAAUGGUAACUUUUAUUCGUUAGAUUUCAGUUGGGUCCUUACAAGAUAUUGGAUCAUUUUGGUAAUAUUAUAGUUUUUAAAAUAAUUACUAUUAAUUGUAUUAUAGAAAUAAUCAACUAUAAAGAUAACCAAUUAAACGUUUGAUGCAAUUUUCAAAAGUUCUAUGAAUUUUAAAAACAAUUGUAUGCGUUUUGUAAAUCUUACUAUUAAAUUAUAAUAAUAUUAUAAAUAACAUGAAUGUAAAUGAUUGUAAGUGAACAUAAUUUUGAAUAAAAUUUAUUUACAUAUUUAUAAUAUGCAUAUAAAUUAUUUUUUAUUGUGUAUAUAUAAUAAUUGAUAUUUAAAGUAAAUAUUUUUAUUAUUAAUUUUAUUUUUUAUUUCGCUAUCUCAAUAUAAUUAGUAAUAAUAAUAAUCUCUUUAAAGUUAAUGAUUUACUUUCCUAGUUAGUAAGGAUAAUUCAAUAGAAUAAAUUUAAAAAUCAAUUUAUGGUAAUGAAAAUAAAUAUGCAAAAUAAAUGAAUAUCCGCAACACGAAGAUUUUUUUACGAGGAAACCUUUGAUCCUCACGAUUUAGGAUAAAAAUCUCAACAUGUUAUUAUGUCCACUUGUAGAUAGAACAAUUCACUAUGAAAAUAAUGUAAGUUAAAGUGGAUCAACAACACUCACAAAGCUUUGCACCUGUAAAUAUCUCAAAUCUACAUUCUAUUGUGUUAAGCCUCACAAACUGAAAUACGUUAUCUAAAAUACAUUUGAACAUUUUCCAAGUGGAUUUAGGUGGGCAGCCUUGCCAAGAUUUAGGUCUUGGGUUUGAGUCUCAUGUAGCUACGUCUCAUAGACGUUAUUUUGGUGCUAUGAGGAAUCUCCUUUUGUUCCUGUUUGGGUUUCUUUGUCGUAUUUUCUAAUGCAUUUUAAUCAUUACAAAGAUGCCUUAUUUUUUACUGCUAAUGCUAUUGGUAAGCCUCUACGGGUGGACCAUGCUACUACUAUUGUUAAUCGGCCCUUAAUCGCUCGAAUUAUGAUUGAAUAUGAUGUUUUGCGGUCGUUGUUGCCCAAACUUUGGACUGGUGAGGGUGAUGGCAGUUGCUGGCAAGAUUGUCAAUUUUUAGUGUGUUCCUUUAUAUUGUGUCUCGUGUAAGCAUCUUGGCAAGCUGCUGAUGCUUGUUUUGUUGCUAAUCCUGGGCUCUAGGAGCCCCAGCAGCCUGUUGGUCAGGUGCAGGAUGUUGUUGUUCGUGAUAAAGGCAAGGUGCCUAUAUCUGAUGCUAUUGUGCAUUUAAAGGGGGAUCGUGAAGAUGUUAAGCCAUUGAGGCCUGGUGCUGGCAAGGAUGUUUCGGUAGAUGCUUAGCCGCCUAUUUAUCAGGAUACUACAGAAGAUGGGUAUGAUCCAGUUUUUAUGAAAAGAGUUCAGACAUCUAAGGUCUCUAACCCUCCUUAUUUUUUAGAUUAUCCGGGUGUUUAAAGGGCUUCCAUUGGCGCUACUUUUUUUUUCAAGCUGUUGUAGAGGAUAUUUGCUCCAUGGUCGUGGGCUUCAAUUGCCAUUCUACGGACAUCCCUUUUCAGUCUGAUGAGGAGUUUAGCUUUGAUGAGAAUCUUGCAACUAAUGAAUAUUUUGCAUUUGGGCCUAAGGGUACUAGAGGGCGUGAUGUUGAUGACUUUAGUAUUGCCUGGUUGUAUGCCUCUGGUUCUAAGAAAGGUUUCACAUUAGUUACUGGCCCAAGAAUUGUAUGCUAUUCUGUAGCCGGUUGCGUUAAUUACUCCUAUCUUCUAAGCUUUUGUUAUUUUUCUAAUUGUUGAGUGUAUUUGUUCCCGUGCUUAGAGGUUUUGGAAUAUGUCUCCCCCUCCAUAUGAUUUUUCUUUAAUUUUAUUAAUCUAUUGGUAAGGGGGUCCUGCCUAAUCCCCACCUUAGAGUAUUUUUUAAUUAAAAAAAAAUCCGCACAAUCCUCACAAUUUUUUUUCCUACAUGAGUUAAACAUCAAAAUCUGCUGAGGAGAAAAGUUUAAGGGUAAAAUGAUAAUUGGUGUGAGAGAAUCCGUCUUAAAUUUAACACCUUUAAGCUCAAAGACCUUGUAUCAACGAACUUGGUGGAGCUAAAGACAAGAGAAGAAAAUAAAUGCUAAUUAAUUCUUGAUGUUUGAAAAAAAUCCAAUCUAAAACAUUAGCUUCUAACCCUUCAGAAAAGUAUUUCUCAAAAAUCAAGGGUUUAAAAGUAAAUUUUAAGGACAUAAAAGUAAGAAGUCACUAAUAGGAGUGUGUAGUGGGAGUGGGAGUAGGGUAUUUACUUAGACUAAAUGAAAGUAUGGAUUGUCAAUCAGAAUCCCAAUUAUUUGUUUACUUUGUCUUGGAUUGGGAGUAAAUUAUUUUAAAUUACAAUUUUAUCCUUAUGUAAAGAAUUAUAAUUUGUAAUUAAAAAAUUAAUAAAAAAAUAUAUUUGGAAAAUAAAAUAUAUAUUUUAUUAUAUUUAUAAAUUAAUAACAAUUACUAAUAUUCUUAAUAAUGUAAAUCAUACUUUGUUAUUAUUUUUAAUUUAAAUUAUGUGAAUAAAAAUUAUUANNNNNNNNNNNNNNNNNNNNNNNNNNNNNNNNNNNNNNNNNNNNNNNNNNNNNNNNNNNNNNNNNNNNNNNNNNNNNNNNNNNNNNNNNNNNNNNNNNNNAAAUGAAAUAUUAUUAUUGAUAAUAUAGUACAAAAUUAAUUUUUUUAGAAUAAAAUAUUUAUUAUUAUUAAUUAAUUAAUUAAUAUUUAUUAAAAUUAAUGUUUAAUAUUAUUAAUUUAAAUAUAAUAUUUAUUUAUUUUUAUUUUAUUAAAUUUAAUAAAAUAAAUAUGUUAUAAUUAUUAUUUUUAAUAAAUAUGAUAUUAUUUAUUUUAUUAAAUAUGAUAUUAUUUAUUUUAAUUACGAGGGUAAAAUGGAAAGAGGGGGGAGUGGAUUCCCACUCCCACCUCCCCCCAUGGGAGUGGGAAUCUCACUCCCCACUCCAAAAUUAGGUGGGACCCACAGAGUGGGAAUCCCACUCACCCUUUUUUUAAGGUAAGUAAACACUGAAAUAAGAGGAAUCCACACUCCACACUCCCACUCCAGAAAGUAAACACUGCCUAAAUUCUUCCUUGUUGGGUCUAUCUCAUUUGGGGCCCAAAAUCCAAAUAAAUUUGCUUGGUUUGUAAUUAUUACGAAGCCUUGGACUUAGAUGAAAUUCGCCAAGUAAUUUGGCUAUAAAAGCAAGCAGUAGCCCCUGGGACUCAAAAUGACUAAAAUAAUCAUUUUUCUCCUAAUGAUUUUUAGCAUAAAGUUUUGACAAAAUUUAAUAGAUUGGACAUUUUAGUUUUAUUUGAAAUGAAAUGUUAUGAAUAAAUGGCUCUUAAAUAAUCAUAAUCAGCACACAACCAGCAAAUUCAAGGAGCAGAAAACCAAGAGAACAAAAUUUCCUCUUAAAUUAAUUCAAAUUGAAUUUUAUAUAUGAAAAAAUAAGACAUAAAUAUGUAAGACAUUUAUUCUUGCAAAGCAAACGCUUAGAUACAAGUAAAAAAAAAAAAUGUAAGAAAAUUAACUUGCAUGUUUGAGCUUAUUGUAAGCAAUAAAAGAUGGUAAAUUUUUACUUGAAUUUCUAAUUAAGGCCAUGUUCAGAGUUGAAGUUGGACAGCUAUAACUUUUGAAUUACAACACCAAAGUGUUUGAUAAAUACUAACAACUGUAUCUUAAAAAUUAAGUUGUAUGCUGAAAAAUAUAUUAUAACUUUAUUAAUUUUGUGAAAAUUAUUAUUUAAAAUUAUAUUUAUUACAUACUAUUAAUUUUUAUUUUAUAAUUAUAAUUUUUUUUAAUAAUUUAAACUUAAAAAUUAUAGUAUCUCAAUAAGAAAGAGGACUUAGCUUUCUUUCAAAGAAAUCAAUGAGAGGAAUUUUUUAUUUUCUAAUUAAUUUCUCAAAAAACAAAAAGUGUGAUCAAAAGUAUAUGCCGAAAGCAAUUAUGAAGAAUGAUCAUGGUCUUUAGUGGUGUAUGGAAUCAAAGAUAUGGUUGACGUGAUGUUGAGGAAAGUAGAGAUUUCUUUUAGUAUUUUAUCAAGGGCGGCCUCAAUAUAAUUGCAUUUUAUAGCUCAAAGUGAAUAAAAUAUUCUUUUAGAAAAAUUCCACGAUAAUCAUUUUAAGAAUUUAUUCUUUUGGAAAAAUUCCACUAAAAUCUUUUAAGAAUUUAUUCUUUCGGAAGAAUUCCGUCAUAUUCUUUAUUAAUUUUUUUUUUGUUUUUUUAAGUUAUAGAAUCUUGUUAUUGAAAUAAGUAAAGGUUGAAAUAAGUAAAAUGUUGCUUCAUCAUAUAUUUUUACGAUUUUACGUGUUGCAUUACCGAACAUAUUUAACAUAAAUUGUUACCAACAACGGGAACGCAGCUUCCAAUAUCCAAACCGUCUCAUCAUCAGGACAAUUGGACGGAAUCUUCAUCACACGUGUCUCACUAUUAUUGGUUACCGUUUUGGAUCUUCUCACGUGCAUCCGACGGUCAAGAAGGCAGCAACUCUACGUUGCCAUCAAAAAAUUGUUAAGGUUAUGAAUCUAUCCGCAAGGCAGCUGUAAAUAAUUAUACAGGUUGAUGUCUCAAUUUUGGAUAAAUAUUUGUUUAAUCUAUAUAUUUUUGUUUAAGUAUCUGUUUAGUUUUUAUAUUUUAAAAAAGUGUCUCAAGAGAUCACUGCUGUUAAGUAUAUUACACUCAUACACUUGUUUUUUCUUUACUUUUAUAGGAAUACACUUGCAACAAUAUUCUUGAGGAUGUAAAUUAAUUUAUCUAUAAAGAAAGUUAAAGUAAAAAUAAAUAUAUUUUUUUUAUUUUACUUUUGGAAUUAAUUUAGUAGAUUAAUUUUUUAAAUAAUUAUUACAGAGACUAUAAUUGCAAGGGUAUUAAAUAUUGCUUUAAGUUAGCUAGUAUUAAUUUUAUUUUAAAUCAUUGGAAGAUUGCUAUAAGAGUAUGAAAAAUACCAGUUCAUUCAAACUAAUAGUUAUUGGUUAAUUGCUAAUAAAUAACUACGGUUAAAUUUGUUAAUUAACAUUUUUCAUAGAUUAAUUAAUUAAUGUCUCCAAAAUUGUUGUAAGGGCAUUAUUAUAAAACAUAAGAAAAACAAAGGGCAAUAGUACAUAUAUUCAAUAAGUAGGGUGUCUUGAGAUAUUUUUCGAAAUAUAAAAAAUAAACAUAUAUUUAACAUAAAAUAUAUGGACUAUUCGAACAUUUACUCUCACAACUUUUGAUGUGAUUAAUAAAGGAUAAGAGCAUAUUAAAAAAGUAAUUUCUACUUAAAUUUAUAAUAGUUAUGCGAAAUAGAAAAGCUUUGUUAUAGAACGAACCCGCUAUCAAACCCGAAGCUUGAUCCUAAGCUGAGGUUUGUAUUGUACAACUCCUAUCAUUGUCUAAAUCCAGAUUCUAUAAAAUCCAAACGUCGAGAAAAAGUUCUCCGAACAUCAGAAAUGCCUUGCAACAGUUGCUAGAUAGCUGGACCCGGCACCCGGCACCCGGCUAAUGGACUGUUUAACAACAUUAAAUUUUUUUAUUUUAUUUUACACUCAUUAUUCAAUCCGCCAAUCAUUGUUUUUGAUCCAUCUGUGUAAAUCACGACACAAGUAAACUUUUUACUGUACGUUUAUUAUUCAAUUCCAUUUUUCUCCAAAAAAAUUUAGUAUGCACAUUUUUUUCAAAUUUGUGGCAUGCAAGUAAAGUAGAGCUCGAAUCUAAAACUCGAGUCUUAGAAAAAAUUAUAAUUGGAGCCAGUCUAGCCUCUAAGAUAGUAUGUGCCCUUUUUCUUCAAUUUGCAGCUUUUUUGUCAGACCUAAAAUUGAUUUAAUUUGUAAUGUUACCUAACUGGUGGUGAAGAAACAGCAGCCAUUACAUCAGAAAUCGCUAGUGCAGUUCAAGUAAAUUCAUGUAAAGCAAACCCUGAGAUACAAGUAAAAUUGAAAAUGUAAGAAAAUUAACUUACAUAUCUGAGCUUAUUGGAAGAUAAAGCAAUCAAAGAUGAUAAAUUUUUACUUGAAUUUCCAAUUAAGUUUGUUUCAAAGAAAUAAAUCAGUGAGAAGAUUUUUAUCUGUUCUAAUUAAUUUCUCAAAGACAAAAAGUUUAAUCCAAAGUGUAUGCCGAAAGUAAUUAUGAAGAAUGAUUAUGGUCUUUAGUGGCGCAUGAAAUCAAAGAUAUGGUCGACAUGAUAUUGACAAAUGCAAGGAUUUCUUUAAGCAUUUUAUUUAGCGAGUCUUCAAUGUAAUUACAUUUUAUACGGCAAAGUGAAUAAAAUAUUCUUUUAAAAAAAUUUCACUUUAAUCUUUUUAGAAUUUAUUCUUGUGGAAAUAAGGGAGGAUGGGUUUGUGUUUUUUCAAUUGAGUUUGAUAUAUUGAUUUCACAAAUAUUCAUGUCUUGUUUUUUGGUUGGUGCAUACUUUAAUGACUUUGUUUUGCGGUUCUUGUGUUGUAUGUACAUAUGUGCGUCUCAUUCUGAUUCUCACAACUCACAAAUGGCAUCGUUGUUUGUUUCUGAAUCACAACUCAAUUGAUUAAAUUAUUCUUUUAGAAUAAUUUAUUCUUAUAAAUUUCACUUAAAUUUAUAGUAGUCAUGCAAAAGAGAGACUGUAAAAACAAUAAGGGACAAAUAGUAAAUAUUGAUUACACCAUAAGAAAAUUGGGAAUCUCCCAUAAAAUAAAUAUUAAGAUAUGUGCAUAUGAGAUUAUUAUAGAACGAACCUGCUAUCAAACCCGAAGCUUGAUCCUAAGCUGAGGUAUGUAUCGUAAACUUAUAAUCCUUUUUUUUUCUAAUUCGUCCGUGAAAAUUACAACAAAAGUAUUUUUUUUUUUUAUUGUACAUUCAUUAUUCAAUCGGCCAAUCGUUUUUUUUUAAUCCAUCUGUAAAUUUUUUAUUGUACAUUUAUUAUUCAAUUCCAUUUUUCUCCAAAAAAAUUCAUUUGGUAAGCACAUUUUUUCAAAUUUGUGGCAUGCACAUAAAGUAGAGCUCGAAUCUAAAACUUGAGUCGUAGAAAGGCUUCCUUUAUAAUUGGAGCUAAAUCUUGCCUCUAACAUAGUACGUGCCCUUUCUUCAAGUAAAUUCAUGUAAAGCAAACCCUGAGAUGCAAGUAAAAUUGAAAAUGUAAGAAAAUUAACUUACAUGUUUGAGCUUAUUGGAAGCAAUCAAAGAUGAUAAAUUUUUGCUUGAAUUUCCAAUUAAGUUCGUUUCAAAGAAAUCAAUCAGUGAGAGGAUUUUUAUGUGUUCUAAUUAGUUUCUCAAAGAUAAAAAGUUUAAUCAAAAGUGUAUGCCGAAAGUAAUUAUGAAGAAUGAUUCUGGUCUUUAGUGGCGCAUGUGAUCAAAGAUAUGGUCGACAUGAUGUUGACAAAAGCAUGUUAUUAAUGGCGUCUUCAAUGUAAUUGCAUUUUAUAGGGCACAAUGAAUUCCACUUUAAUCUUUUAAGAAUUUAUUCUUGUGGAAUAAUUCCAUUAAAAUAUUUUAAGAAUUUACUCUUUUAGAAAAAUUCCAUUAUAAUCUUUUAAGAAUUUUUUUAUUUAAAUUGUAGAAUUUUCUUGUAAACAGAAGUAAAGAUGGGGAAGUAAAGGUUAAAGGCUCGACAUUUUUUACUUGAAUUUCCAAUUAAGUUUGUUCAAAGAAAUCAAUGAAAGGAUUUUCAUGUGUUCUAAUUAAUUUCUCAAACAACAAUUUUAGUCUAAAGCGUGUGCCGAAAGGAAUAAUGAAGAAUGAUUUUGGUCUUUAGUGUAGAAAAGACAUGGUCUAUUGAUGUUUGACAAAGCUAGCUUCAGUAAUCUACCCAUCAAAGAAAGGAUUUCAAUGUAAUUGCUUUUUUAAGGGAAAAUGAAUAAAUAUUCUUUUGGAUNNNNNNNNNNNNNNNNNNNNNNNNNNNNNNNNNNNNNNNNNNNNNNNNNNNNNNNNNNNNNNNNNNNNNNNNNNNNNNNNNNNNNNNNNNNNNNNNNNNNNNNNNNNNNNNNNNNNNNNNNNNNNNNNNNNNNNNNNNNNNNNNNNNNNNNNNNNNNNNNNNNNNNNNNNNNNNNNNNNNNNNNNNNNNNNNNNNNNNNNNNNNNNNNNNNNNNNNNNNNNNNNNNNNNNNNNNNNNNNNNNNNNNNNNNNNNNNNNNNNNNNNNNNNNNNNNNNNNNNNNNNNNNNNNNNNNNNNNNNNNNNNNNNNNNNNNNNNNNNNNNNAAAUAAUGGUUGAAAGCUUGACAUUUUUCUUUGAAGUGGCUUAAGGCUCGGGAAGAAAGGUUUACGGCUGUCCACUUCUCUUAGAAAUAAUUGGUUUUAGGCAUCUUUUGGUUACAAGCCUCACAAGUUGUAAGUUAUUAUUCAGAUUUUUUUGAUACGAGCAGUGGUCAAUAGAGUCAACUCAGAUAAAACUUAAAUUUCCCGCCCAAACAAAAACUAACAAACAUAAAGAAUUUGAAUCAUCCUUCAAUAAUAACAUAAAUAGCAACUCCAGAGGCUAGUAAUUUGAUCAUUUCUGUAUUUGUCAAUGCAUUAUGGACUCUAAGACCAGGCUCUAAAAUCAAAUAAAUGCUACAGUUGUAUGCAAUUGAUGAAUAGAUAUCAUCAAUUCCAAAAAUUGUUGAUAAUAUUACUUAAGUAAGGUUACGAAUCCAUCCGCAAGACAGCUGUAAAUAGUCAUAUACCCUGACGUAUGAGCUUUUUAUAUGAUUAAUAAAGGAUAAGAGCAUAUUCAAAAAUCAAUUUCUACUUAAAUUGAUAGUGAAUGUGUAUAUCACUGUGCAGAAGUAAAUAAAGUAUGCAAGCAUGAUAAAACAAAGUUCAUGAUAUGUGCCUAUGAGAUUAUUAUAGAAUGAACCUGCUAUAAAAAAUGAUGCAGUGACUAAGCUGGAAGAAAAGGCCACUUAAGAUGUGAAUUUGCUGUUAUUUGAUUCAACUCUUGGCAUGGCUCUUGAGGUUUGAAUCAGCUUAUGGCAGGCAAGUGAGCAAGCUGAUAUUGCUGUUGUAGAUAGCUUGAUGCCCUUAUCAACAUUCUUCUUCCAUGAAUCUGAAUCUUUUGGUCGAAGAUAUUGAUAGCAAUGCACAUAGAAGUAAUACGGCACUGCAUGUUAUAAAGGAAAUUAUUAAUUUUGUAAAGUACCUUAGCGAUUCUGCUUUUGCUAACUUUGUUACUGUCUCCACUGCACUCUGUUCCACAUAGUCGAAAUCAUUCUGCAUUUUGACCUGAUUCUAACAAGACAAUCUAACUUCCAAGCUUUCAAAUUUCCCCAAGGUCUCUGGCACAUUUUUAAGUUUGGAGCAGCCAGAGAGAUACAAUGUUCUAAGCAAUCUCAAACCAUUUAUGGUACUUGGAAGACUCUUGAGAUUUUUACAAUCUUUCAAAUUCAACAAGACAUUGCCAGAAAGAAGUUCAAUAGAUGCUGGCAAUCCUCUUAUAGCAGUUCCUUCCAAAUGAAGCUCCAAGAGCUGAUCCCUGCUUGAAGUUUUCUCUGGGAACUCUCUGAAUUUCAAAGGGCUGGAGAGAUUCAAAGUUGAUAGAUAUUUUAGAGCACUUAUGGUCCGUGGAAGACACUCGAGAUUUUUGCAGCCAUUCAGAGUCAACUGAGCAAGUCCAAAUAGAAGUUCAAUUGAUAAUGUUAAUAUCAGUUCCAUCCGAAAGAACUUCCCACAACGUCUAGAAAUUUCUUCAAUUUCCAGCAACCAGAAAGAACAAGUGUCUUAAGAGAUUUCAUAAAGAUCUUGCCUGGAAGAGUUGAAAGACUUGUACAACCUUUCAAAUUCAACAAAAUCAGCUUCUUUGACGCAGAAAAAAUGAGUGAAUCUCCUGCAACCUUGUAAAUCUUUCAGAAAUCAUCUCCCCUAAAUUUGGUACUCUUGUGAAGUCUGAUUGGUCCUAUUAGAAAAGGCUUUAGCACUGACAUGCAUCUCUUUGUUGUUAAAGCGAUCAAAUAUGAUGCUUCAACUACAUCAGUUUCCUAAACAUUAUAACAAAAAAUAAGUGGGAACAAAAAAAAAAUGAAAGAAAGAAAAUAUUGAUAAAACUACGCAAAGGUUUCACUAGUUAAAUAAGUGAUCAUGAUCCCAAAAUUGCAAGUUUUCAACCUAACUGAACAUUUACUUGUGCUUUGUGAUAAUGCAUGGCAUAUAUCUGCUUCCUUCCACAAUCUAUUGCAGUUUCCAGGCUCCUGAGGGGAUUGCCUCCUAACAAUUUGUCUACCCCAUUUCUUGUAGCUACUCAUGCAUCCACAGUCUGCUGAAAUCAUCUACAGUUAAUAGAGAUUUUUCAAUAGGACCAACAAUUUCGAUAAUUGGGUCAAAAUCACAAUAUUUGAGAAUUUUUUUCACAUAAUCUCUAUACUUCCCUUCACAGAAACAUGCAAUAUCGAGAAAUAUUUUCUUCUCUGUUUCUUUUGACCCAUCAAAACUUAUUUGAAGAACAUCAAGAACCUCAUUUUCAGGAUCUCCCUAUAGUCAUUGUAGUAUAACUCUGAAAAUAUUUUCUUCUCAGCUUUGGAAAUUAAUGAUCUUCUUCUUCAUAUUUAUUCUGAAAAUUCAAAAACAUAAAUGAAAAUAAAGAGAACUGCAUGGCAUAAAAUUUACAACUUUGAUUAUGUUGCAACCAGCAUAGUAAUUUUCUUAAUAAGAAUUCCGACAGUUGUAGUUUUAAAUAUCAACUACAUGUCAACGAUGCAGAAUUCCAAGGCAUCUUCUAUUAAACAAAAACAAAUAAUAAGAACCAACAGUUGUCAAUUCUUAUCAACAAAGUCUUCAAAUUGACAUUGUGGUCUGUUGUUUAACGAAAAAAAGGAAAAUCAAUAGUUGUCAAUUCCUAUCAACCAAAUCCUCAGACCAAAAUUAAACAUGGGGGUGGAGAAAAGAAAAAUAAAAAUCAAAUGUUGAAUCCUCUUGAUUGUUUCAUGGAUAAAUCUGAUCUAGAUCUGAGUCCAUAUUUAACAUAUUCAUCUACCCAUUUUCAGACAUGCCAUGAAUUGUAAAUUAAGCCAAAGAUUCGCAAAAAGCAACAAAGAAACAAAAAACAGAUUCUAUGUUCAGCCACAAAUGGGGUAUUUCACAGCCAAGCACAAUGGUUAUGGAAGAUUGCUAGUAAACAAAUGAAGAAAAUUAAUUGCUUUUCACAGGUUCAAGAAUUAACACUAUUAUUGAUUGCUUCUCAAGUGGAAGAAAUAAUUUUGAAUAAAGCACAACAUCAUUCCUUCCAACAAGGGAGCGCCUAAGUUACGAUCAAUGUAUCUUACGUUUUUUCUUUUAUUCUUCUUGGUAAAUUUCAUUUGAGUCCCUUGAUGUUUCUUUAUUUUCUAUAAUUGAGGGAGUAUUUGUCUCCUUCCAUCUCUUCUACACCUAUUUUUUACCCUUUCCAGAGUUGUAUUUAUUUCUUUUAAUAACAACAAAUGAUUAUCAAACUCAUAUAGAUCUAUGAAUUCAGAAUAUAUUUCUGGUCCUAAAUUUAUUAAACCUAUUCUUUCUUGCUCUAAUAAAUCUAUUUUUUGAUUUAUUAAAUUUAUAUAUGUACUUACUAUAUUUUCCCAUCCUAAAUGCAUAUGUUCUGUACUGUUUAUUAAUUCCUGUAUUGUAUUAACUGCUUGGUUCAUAAUGUUUCAGUUUUAUACCAAUAUAUUAAAAAUUGUAUAAAUUUAUCAAUAAAUUUCAUUUUCUUUUCUAUCAAUAUUUCUCCUCCUGUGGUAUCUAUGUUUCUUUCUAUAAGUUCCUCAGUUAAUUCAAUUUCUAUAUUUCUUAUAUUAUUUUUAUCAGUUUUUAAAGCUUUUACCAAAUUCUUUAUUUCUUCUUUAUUAUAUACCUUUAAUGUAUACAAACUAUUAACUAUUGACUGUAUUGGGUCCAUAAUUUUGUUCUUAUGGCUCUGAUACCAUCUUGCACCGUGUGCCAAAAAAGUAACGAAAAGUAACGAAAAAUAGAAAAAACGAAUAAAAAUAAUAGAAUAAAGAAUUACAGAAAACUAAAAUGUAAAUAAAAAAAAUAUACAAUAAUGUUAAAAAUUUUUAUUUUAUAAGGUAUACAUAUCGUAACUUGUAUUACUAUUAUUUCUUACAUAUAAGGCAAUAACUGAUUCUCCUUCUAUUACCCUAGGUAUAUUAUUAAGAAGACUAGGAAAAUAAAAAUCAUAAUAAUUAUUAUUAGUUUCUAAAAUAUAUGCAGGAUUAUUAGUCAUAUCAUAAAAUAAUUCAAUCUGUAUAAAGUAUAUAUUAUUAUUUAUUAUACUAAAAUAGUAUCUAAUUUCCCUCUAAGUAUCUAUUUUUACAAAAUAUUCUGAUUACAGGUACGUGGCUUGUUAUCCCAAAGUGCAGAGGAUACUAACGCCCAAUAGGGAUCGUCUAUCCAAUUUACGUCAUGGGUUGCUUGCCGAUAUACCUUACAAUCAGUUUAUUUAUUUUAUUUUACUAAAUUCCUAUAUUUCAAGUUCUUCGUUAUCCGAAUUUUCUACGUAAUUUAUGUAUGAUGGUCCGAUUUCUCGAAUUUCAUGUUCCAUAUAUGCUAAAGCUAUGUCAAUUCCUUGCUCUAUUGUUAACAUAAUUAUAUUAUGUUUUAAAUUAUCUAUUUCGAUAUGGUUUAUAAUUUUUCUUUUUAUUUCUUUUGGUAAAUUAAGAGUAUAUACUGCUUGUAGAUCUUCUGUUCUAACUAGCUCUUCUUUACUUCAAAGAUAUGAACUUUGUUUAAAAGAUCCUAAGUUAAAGUCUAUUAUCAUCAUAUAGUCAUUAUAUGUAAUCCUAGUAGUAGAGUUUAUCAUAUAUUCUUUAGAAUUCCCAAGUAAAAUAUCGUUAUUCAUGUUUAAAUUAGCUCUUCCUCCAUCAAUCUCCUCAUCAUCAAUCAUCAACAAACUUCCACCAAAAGAUAAGGUUUGAGAAUUAUUACCUGAGUUGUUCUUAUUUCUUUGCCUUCCGAUCCUCUUCCAGUGACCUGCAGCCUGGUUGUCCUUAUUCCCUCAACGGCCUCCUUGCCUCAACGGGAUCAGCGGACUCGAGCGGCCUUACUGUAUGGAUUUUGAUCGUUGUGCUUGGAAACUUUGAACAAAUUUAGGUUUCUCUUUCCUUUCUUAGGUGUUUUUUUGUUUAUGAUUUCUGAUGGUUUGAUUCUGGAUUCUGAGCUGAAGAGUUGUUUAGUUAUUCAUUUUUGAGAGAGUUUUUUGGAAGAGAUUUCGUGAUUCAAGCUCUGAGAGCCUUUCUUCUUUUUUCUUCUAUUUAUCCAGAAAAAGAUUACAUUCUUGCCCUCUUAUGUUUGGGCUUUUUACAUUAUUGCCUACGUUUUAUUACAUUAUUGCCCUUCUAUCAUUGGGCUUCUUAAGUCACUGCUGACGUUACAUAUUACUUUAGCAUCUUUCUUUUUGCUGCCUGCCAUUUUCCUUAUCUUUGUCGGGCAUCUUCUUUAUGUUGUCUGCUUUAUCUUGUCGGACAUCUUCUUUAUGUUGUCUGCCACUUCCAUGAGUUGAUAAGCUUGAUCCAUAGUUUUACUGCUACUGGGGAAACGCAUAGUGCUUAUUUCAUUGAUGAAAUCUAAUAACAGGUUUGAUGGCGUAUGACUGUCUUCAGAGGUUAUGAGAAUGUAAUUCUGGAAUUUGAUGAUGGUUCUGAAAUUUCUUUUGUAUAGAUCCUUGGCUAUGCUCCAUAUGGCUUUUAUUCCUCUGGCUCUUCGUGUUCUGAUCCAAGGUUCAUUUAUGUGUGGAACAUUUGUGUAGUCUGUCCCAACUUCGACCUUGAAAUUCUUAGUGAGAUGACCUAUAGAGAUCAUAUAAAAGGCUUGAUAUUCUACGUUCUGAUAGUAUUCUGGACUUAUGGUGUAGAAUUUUAGAUAUAUGGGUCUUUUUGGGCGAACCUUGAUACUUCUUUUAUUAAUAAGUCAUCAAGGCUGGCUAUUUCCUGAAGAUUUAUAUCUGGAUAUACUAGAUCUAAAUACCCGUAUUUUGCUAUCUUUCCAACAAGGAGUGGGUCUGCUCCUUUUGUAGCAAUCAUUCUUGGAUACAUAUUUUUUCCUGGUGCUUUGAAAAUUGUAUUCUUGUGGGAACAAGUGGAGUACACCCAUGUCUGCCAUUUUCCUUAUCUUUGUUGGGCAUCUUUGUUUAUGCUGUCUGCUUUAUCUUGUCAGGCAUCUUCUUUAUGUUGUCUGCCACUUCCAUGAGUUGAUAAGCUUGAUCCAUAGUUUUACUGCUACUGGGGAAACGCAUAGUGCUUAUUUCAUUGAUGAAAUCUAAUAACAGGUUUGAUGGCGUAUGACUGUCUUCAGAGGUUAUGAGAAUGUAAUUCUGGAAUUUGAUGAUGGUUCUGAAAUUUCUUUUGUAUAGAUCCUUGGCUAUGCUCCAUAUGGCUUUUAUUCCUCUGGCUCUUCGUGUUCUGAUCCAAGGUUCAUUUAUGUGUGGAACAUUUGUGUAGUCUGUCCCAACUUCGACCUUGAAAUUCUUAGUGAGAUGACCUAUAGAGAUCAUAUAAAAGGCUUGAUAUUCUACGUUCUGAUAGUAUUCUGGACUUAUGGUGUAGAAUUUUAGAUAUAUGGGUCUUUUUGGGCGAACCUUGAUACUUCUUUUAUUAAUAAGUCAUCAAGGCUGGCUAUUUCCUGAAGAUUUAUAUCUGGAUAUACUAGAUCUAAAUACCCGUAUUUUGCUAUCUUUCCAACAAGGAGUGGGUCUGCUCCUUUUGUAGCAAUCAUUCUUGGAUACAUAUUUUUUCCUGGUGCCUUGAAAAUUGUAUUCUUAUGGGAACAAGUGGAGUAUACCCAUGUGGAGAAUUGUUUAUAUUCUUCUUCUUUUGGAUUCAGGGGUUUCUCCUCUUCUUCUGUAUAAGGGUUGUUUAUUUCUAUGAACUUUUUUGGANNNNNNNNNNNNNNNNNNNNNNNNNNNNNNNNNNNNNNNNNNNNNNNNNNNNNNNNNNNNNNNNNNNNNNNNNNNNNNNNNNNNNNNNNNNNNNNNNNNNCUUCCGAUAUUUAUUGGGUUAUGUUUAUUGGGCUCGUGUUUAUAGAGAGAGCUUUUGUUAGGUCGUCUAUGUAUGACUCUAACAAAUUUACUCCUUUUUCAUGAGCCUCAGAAGCUUCUUUUAAAUAGUUUAUUGCAUCAAUUAUGUCAGAUGCUUCUGUUUUGAGCCUUUGUACCUCAGCUUCUAUUUUCCCGAUGAUUCUAUUAACUUUGGGAUUCAUUCUCCAAAUUCUAUGUUCCUGCUUAGGAAAUCUGCAAGGAAAUUGUUAAUUCCUUUUAUAUGGACAAUUUUGAAAUUAUAAUAUGACAGAUAAACUUGCCAUCUAUGCAAUCUUCUAUACUGCGGUUCAUUUGGUAAAAUCCUAUUAAUAAGAGCGUUUACCUGAGAAUUAUCAGUUUCUACAAUAAAUUAUUUUUGGAGUAAAAAUAAUGAGAAUUUUUUAAUCCCUUUGUAUAUUUAUUUAGUUCUUUGUAGUUUAUUACCAUUCUUGCUUUUCCUCUAAUCUGUUCUGCUCUUUUCCUAACCAUAAAAACUGGACUAUUAUGCGGGCUAUUACUGCUUCUAAUAAGUUUUAAAUUUAAUAAUUCUUUUAUUUGAAUUUUAAAUUCUUCUCUAUCUUCUUCUGUAUACAUCAUAGGUUUAAGUCUUAUAAUCCUAUUUUCAAUUAAUUCUAUCUUUGCUCUAGGAUGAUCUGGUUUCCAUAAUGCUAAAGGAUUUUCUUUAUAAACUUGCUCAAGCUGUGAUUUUAUUGUUUCUAAUUGUAUAUUAUAACUUUGUCCUUUUUGUAUUAAAUAAUAUUUUUCAUAAAUAUACUUAUCACCACGCUGGGCUGGCUGAACUCUGUAGGGUUUGAAUUCGCGAGGGAUGCGGAGAAUAUGAUUACAAGGGGUUUUUAAAGUGAUCAUAUAAGGUGUUUGUUGGUAAUAUUGGAACUGUUGUAUGAAAUCAUUUCCUAAAAGGAUAUCACAAUCCAUAUUAUUGUAUUGGAAGAUUUGGUUAACACGUACUAUUUUACUUCCUAGUAAGAUUUCAAAAUUUAGAAUAGAUUGAUUUACAUGUUGUUUAUCUCCUGUAAUACCAAUAAUUUUCAAUUUUCCAUUUGAUUCCCAUUUAUUAGAUAAAAAGGAUUUCAUAAUAGUUAUUUCAUUACCAGUAUCUAUUAAAGCACAAGUAUCUAUAUAUUUUUCUGUUAUAUUUAUUUGUAUAUAUACAGACAUAGGGUACUUUAUAUAAGCUUGUUUUAACAUGUGUAACAAAUUAUUGUUUGGCCUUGGAUUAAGAAAGUUAUCUUAUUAGGUUCAAUUUUGUAAUAUUCUAAAUCAUUUAAAAAACUAUUUCCUAGUACUAUAUGUUUUUCUGGGUCUGUAGUCAUGAAUGAGUCUAUAUAAUAGGCUACUAUUAUUCUAAGUCCUUCUAUUAUUAUGGGGACUUUAACUUCUUGUUUACAAAUAUGUUUAUUCCCAUUGAAGUCAGUAUACUCAUAUGGAACUUCCUUUUCUUUUACUAAGAGUCCUUUAUUUUUUGUGUGAUUCAUAUAAUUAUGGUUUGUGCCAGUGUCUAAUAGUAUAGGUACUUUUGUUGUAUAAUCUAUUCCAUUAAAGUAUUGUCCAAGUAUUUUUACCACAUUAUUUGUUGGUACUGAUUUAAUUAUUUGCUUAUCAGUGUUUAAUCUUCUAGAAGAACUUCCUCUUAUUAAGGUUCUUCCAGCAAAGCUUAUAGGAAUAAUGGAUUUUUCAUUACUAUUAUUUAAAAAUUGUUUUUUAUCAUCGAUAUUUAAUUCAUAAUUUAUUGGGAUUUUGUAAUCUUGGAUUACUGGUUCUAUAAAUGUUGCGAUAUCUUCACAAUCUUUAUUUAUCUCGAUGUAAGGUUUAUUACCAUAUAUUUCUCCGUAAUUUGAAUUAUAGAAACUAUAUAAGGCUGAGUAAUGUAUUGUCAUUAUUCUGUUACCUUCUUUCAUUAAAUUUUUCUUUAAUAACUUAAAAUGUAAGCUUAAUGUUUCGUCUAUGUUUUUAUCUUUAAUGUGUACACAAUAUCUAGGGUGACAAGUAAAUAAUAAUUUAGUAUAACAUAAAUUUCCUUCUAUUGUUCCAAGAUGUCCUAUAUUAGGAUCUGUAAAUCUUUGAUCAUGUAAUGAAAAAACUAUUGGGUUAUCUAUUCCUUCUUUAAAAAGAGAUUUUAUUAAGAUUUGUAUCUCAGCGAGAUAUACAUAUUGAAUUUUUUCUUUAGUUGACUCAUUUUUUAUUUUUCUCAGUGCUAGUUCUAUGGAUUUUUUAUUUAUUAAACUAAAUCUAAUAUUUCCUUCAGCUUGUGUAAUUGUCACAGCAUUUUCUUGUUCAUAAUAUUCAUGUAAUAUUAUUCGUUUUCUUUUAAACAUAUCUCUAAAUCUAUGGAUUAUUCCAUAUUCUGGUUUUUCCAUAUUUAAUUUUAAAAGUUUAUUAUAUUUUUCUUUGUUAAAAGUAGCAACAAGGCUGUAUCCACUUUUGUUUUCUUCUUUUUCUAUUUCUUCUAUCUCUUCUAUGUUUUCAUUAUCUAAUAACUCUUCUUUAUUCUGAUUCAUUUUCAGAUUCUUCAGCCAUAUAAACUUCCUCUCCUAUAUAGUCAGAUAAAUUAUUUAUUUCUUCUAAGUCACUUUCUAUAUUUUCAAAAUCUUCUUUUAAGAGUUUAACUUUUUUCUUUCUUGUACAAUCUGUACUUAUAUGUCCUAUUUCUCCACAAUUCCAACAUUUACAUUUGGACUUAUCUAAUAUUUUUCUCUGGUUUUUAUAUUUUCUUUUAUAAUAUUUUCUUCCUAAUUUUUUAUAUUUUUUCUUAAAAUUAUUAUAUUUUUUAUAUCUCUUUUCUUUAUUAUAAGAUUUUCUGCGUCUUUUAUGAGGUACAUAACAUCCCCAUUGGGUAGGCAUUUCUGUCUUUUCACAACAUAUUUUUGUUAUAUUUUUACUCUUUUUUAUUAAACUUCUUUGGAUACAAAUUUCACUUAAUCUUGUAUUUAAAAAUCUGAUCCUAGAUCCUAAUGUAUCUGGGAUUCUACUAUCACUUUUAUUAGUAUGUUUUUCAUAUUCAUUUAUGAAAUAUCCAUUCCAUGGAUAAGGUAAUUUAGAAUAAUACAAAUUUUUAUAAAUGUUCUGGUCUUCAUGACUCAUGAAUUGUGUAUAAUAAUAUUUACUAAAUUCACAUGUAUAUUCUUUUACAAAACACAUAUUACAGAUUGUCAGGUUUAUUAAUUUCAUUCUAGCAUUUAAUUUAUCAUAUUUUGCUUCAUUUUCUGUAUUUUGUAACCAAUCUUCUCCUAAGAAUUCACUAGCAAUGUAUUCGAUUAUUCUUUCUAUACCUAAUCCUUUAUCUUUUCUUAAUGCUAUUUUGGUUGAGUCUUUUAUUAAUUUUUGUGUAUCGUCACUUAAUCCUUUCCACCAAUUAAAUACAUUUCCUGUAAAACUUGCUAUUAGAAUAUCUGUUAAUAUAUUUAUUUUUUCUUCUUCAGUAUCUACAUUCCAAUCAUCUUUGGAUCCAUUGAAUAUAAAAAAUAAUUUCAUUUGCAUUCCCCAUUCUACUAAAGCAUUUCGGGGGUCUAUUUUACAAUCUAAGUCUAAAAAUGUACCUGCAUUGCUUAUUGGCAUCAAAUGGUCAUUAUUAGGUUGGUAAUCUUUUUUCCAAGGGGUAUUUUUGACGGGCGGAUAGUAUUCAUAAAAAGGUCUAUUUUUCUUUUUAUUUGUUUCAUAUCUAUGGCUAGGUUCUCCAAUAUCAGGUUUUAAUUCUGGACCUCCAGCGACAUUCAUCUUUAAUUGGUAUUCUUUUUCAAAUUCUUCUAAAUUACUAAGGUUAAUAUCACUAAAUUUUUCUGUUAAUUCUUCUAAUGUAUUUUCCAUUAUUCUGUGUCACUAGGUGUGUUUUCGUUUAUCUCUAAUUUUUCUUUUCCCUUUUCUUCUCUUUUUAAUUAUGCUUUUAACUUUUCUGAUUCCUCUAAUAUUUUUGGAUACUGGGUUUUUAUAAACCAAUCAUCAUAACUUCCUGGUUGAGGUUUUGUCAUAUGUUUUUCAAUGCUUGUCUCUAUUAUUCCUGAUUUUAUUAUUUCAAGUUUCUCAACUUUUUUAUUUUUCUUUCGGCUUAUCUGAAUUGUUGAUAAUUCUAUUUUUAUCUUUCAUAUUUCUUGUUUAAUUUCUCUCAUUUCUUCUUUAAGAUUUAAAAGUAUUUCUUUUAAUUCGAUUAAUGUAGUUUCCAUAAAAUGUAGGGGUGCUAACAGAUAUUUUUACUUUUGAGUGUAUGUUACAUCCAACGUAACAUAGUGUUAGCCUUCCAACAAUUGUGAUGAUAUUUUUUUCAUUCAUUCUAUGGCCCGACUCUGUUUUAUGUCUAAAACUCAAGAAAUUCUACAAUUCCUUCGUUCUACCACAUCAUUCACCCAACAACAAAUAAUCAAAUUCUGUCAUGCAUAUUUUUAUAUAGAAAUUUGCAAAAAUGUUAGUCGAUAGAAAAAAAAAUAAUUGAUUAAAUAAACACUGGGUUUGCACUGUGUUUGUGGUAAAAUUCUGUUAAAGACACGUGUACAUAAACUACCAAGGCACUGAAGAUAUGGAAUUUGAUAGUGAAGGAAUGAAUUUCACAAGAGGAAAUGACAAGAAGGAGCGUGCUUAUUUUGUAGCUGACAAACGGACACAUUAAAGAUUGCCAAUAAAUCAUUGGUAUUCGAUCGAGUACCUGGGAUGCCCCUUUGUGCAGACCCUUCACUCUCUUCUUGGUUUUGCCUUCGAUCAUUAGAGUUCCUGGCUGACUCAUUAGUUUGGCUGGCUAUUUGUGCUGAUUAUCGAACACAUAAACAAUAUAUGUAAACAAUAUAUUGACAAUACAUAUUGAUAGUGAAGGAAUCUCAGAAUCUGCUCACUGGCCAUGACUCACGCAGGACAAACCGUCACGAAUUGACCUUGUUGAUUGAUUGCUUUUGCUUGGGAAACCAUAGAGUUGAUGCAACACAUCAGGUGGGAUGCACAUUCGUUCGUAGGCAUAUUAUCGAACACGUCCUAGGCACGAGAAUUAUACCAUAAUUCCUCAACAACUCCUCUCUUGAACCUGGCCUGCAAAUUCCAUAUAAUCAUUCCUUUGUCUAUUUAUCGUUUGUUCUGAGCCCAAAUCAAGCUGAGAUCGAUCAUAUUCAUAUAGAUAUUUGUCUUUC
rnacentral:lncRNA from 1 species